GACGAACGCUGGCGGCGUGCUUAACACAUGCAAGUCGAGCGGUAAGGCUCCUUCGGGAGUACACGAGCGGCGAACGGGUGAGUAACACGUGAGCAAUCUGCCCUUCACACUGGGAUAACUCUCGGAAACGGGUGCUAAUACCGGAUACGACCACUUCAGACAUCUGAUGGUGGUGGAAAGCUCCGGCGGUGGAGGAUGAGCUCGCGGCCUAUCAGCUUGUUGGUGAGGUAACGGCUCACCAAGGCUUCGACGGGUAGCCGGCCUGAGAGGGUGACCGGCCACACUGGGACUGAGACACGGCCCAGACUCCUACGGGAGGCAGCAGUGGGGAAUAUUGGACAAUGGGCGAAAGCCUGAUCCAGCAACGCCGCGUGAGGGACGACGGCCUUCGGGUUGUAAACCUCUUUCAGCGGGGACGAAGCGCAAGUGACGGUACCCGCAGAAGAAGCACCGGCCAACUACGUGCCAGCCGCCGCCGUAAAAC
rnacentral:rRNA from 1 species